rnacentral:rRNA from 1 species
GAACGCUGGCGGCGUGCCUAAUACAUGCAAGUCGAACGCUUCUUUCCUCCCGAGUGCUUGCACUCAAUUGGAAAGAGGAGUGGCGGACGGGUGAGUAACACGUGGGUAACCUACCCAUCAGAGGGGGAUAACACUUGGAAACAGGUGCUAAUACCGCAUAACAGUUUAUGCCGCAUGGCAUAAGAGUGAAAGGCGCUUUCGGGUGUCGCUGAUGGAUGGACCCGCGGUGCAUUAGCUAGUUGGUGAGGUAACGGCUCACCAAGGCCACGAUGCAUAGCCGACCUGAGAGGGUGAUCGGCCACACUGGGACUGAGACACGGCCCAGACUCCUACGGGAGGCAGCAGUAGGGAAUCUUCGGCAAUGGACGAAAGUCUGACCGAGCAACGCCGCGUGAGUGAAGAAGGUUUUCGGAUCGUAAAACUCUGUUGUUAGAGAAGAACAAGGACGUUAGUAACUGAACGUCCCCUGACGGUAUCUAACCAGAAAGCCACGGCUAACUACGUGCCAGCAGCCGCGGUAAUACGUAGGUGGCAAGCGUUGUCCGGAUUUAUUGGGCGUAAAGCGAGCGCAGGCGGUUUCUUAAGUCUGAUGUGAAAGCCCCCGGCUCAACCGGGGAGGGUCAUUGGAAACUGGGAGACUUGAGUGCAGAAGAGGAGAGUGGAAUUCCAUGUGUAGCGGUGAAAUGCGUAGAUAUAUGGAGGAAC